AAAGGUUAUUGAAAACAGAAUCAGCUAGCUCAUUAAGGCAAAAGGAGACACUGCCAUGUUAAUGAGUCAUUCCAUUAUGAGUACGGGAAUUUGAAAUGGAAAUAGAUAUGGUUUAUCAUUUCUAUUCUCGUUUUUAGUACCUUAACCCACGUGGUAAUAUUAGUUCAAAUUGUAGAAGCCUUUGUUCACUAUAUUCUCAUUAUAGUUUUCUUUCUUCCAUGUUACCAUACAUUGGAAGCAAGUUUUUAGAGGUAAAGUUUUUUUU
rnacentral:misc_RNA from 1 species